GGCUGUUCCUGCGCCCAUCAGACCCGGUGCUCUAAGCCUGCCUUAUUGAAUUGUCUCUUGCCUUUAUGAAGAGGGGCCAACAGGUGUCAGUCUCAGCAGGGUAAGGUGGUCGACUUAGAAUGUCCACUUUGACCCCCAGCAGUAACUUGGACAGCUGUGGUGGUGGCUGUAGGAAAAACGGUUGAGGUGGGGGGUGAUAUAAUGCAUCCACAUUAAAUGUAAAAUGAAAUUUAACAGAAUGAAAGGUUUUGCAUGUAUUCCUUGGUAAAGACAUUGAAUGUGCACAUGUAUAGAUCCAGGCCAUGAUUUUCAUUCCAGUGGGUUCAAAUUAUGUUGGUCAAAAUGAUACCUGUCACUUUAUGUAUGGUGUCAUAUGAGUACUGUAGUUAGAGAGCAACAUGGCUGCAGUGUGAGAAACAAUGAAUCAAGGAAGUGUUUGUUUGAAAACUUUGAAAUAAAAUAGUCCUGUAAUUGUUUCCUCUGAUUAUUUGCCUGGAAAAUAAAGUUAGCUGAACUACUAUCACAAAAUAACUUAAUAUCAUCAGCAAGGAAGGGCAGAUUUUUCCUUUGUUGAUUGAUUCUACUGCAUUUACUAUGGGAUUAUGAUUUAUCUUCUUGUGGACACACAUCUGUUCAGGAAGGACAGGUGAUUGUUAGAAGCAGCGAUUAUUACUGUACCUUUAUUAUCUAGGCUUGAUGGGUGCUGCUUUUUGAAUUGAAAACCUCAGGCCUAUUUUCACAGGAACCUCCAAACCAUGCCAGACCUGGUGAUGAGAUCAGACCGCUCUCCCUGACCAUAGCUGACACCAAGUCAUUCUCAGGGAUACUCAAGGUCAAUCCAGCCACCCCGGAGGCGACAUCACGGGCCUAGAUGUGUUUAUUAAGGCUCCCUUGCUGCAGAUGGGACCAGGGAAACCCCAAGUCAAGACAGCCAGUCAACCAGUCAGUCAGUCAGUCAGUCAGCUCUAUAGAGGGCACUGCAAAUCAGAACCCUGCAACAAUGAUGUUAUCCUGGCAAGGAUGAAGGACUCAACCCCAAUGACAUGAUGUAGCGAACUCAACUCAGCGAACCGCAUUACUGCAUUAUAUUAUAAUAUAUAGUAUGCGUUGUUUAAUGUUCACCCGUGGAUUAUAUUUCACACAAUGAUACAGAUGAGGUUAGACAUGGUGUACGAAAAAGAAUGACAUUUUAUGUAGUGUAAUGUAUAUUGAAACAGGUGUUGAAUCUGCCAUGUCUAUAAACCAUUUGAUAUCCUUUCAAUCCAGCCAAGAUCAGACCAGAAAUUGGAUCGGUCAUUCCGAUAUAUCACACUCUUUACCUUGAGAGAAUCCCUAGUGUGUGGUUCUGUGCUGUGAAUUUAAGUUAAAUAUGUUUCUUAUUGGUAACAUUCUCAAUGGGCCAGAACAAAAGUUCUGACUAGUCGCUGCAUGUGUUGACGAGCGUGAGACAUUUGUUUGCCCAGCACUAAAAUGGUUUCCAUUGAGAUGAUCUGCGUGGC
rnacentral:lncRNA from 13 species